rfam:Aedes albopictus isolate Foshan contig43557, whole genome shotgun sequence.
UAGCCUAGUGGUUAAGGCUUUGGAUCGCCAAUCCGGAGACGGCGGGUUUAAUUCCCGU